rnacentral:lncRNA from 1 species
AAGAAAGCACUCGCAACAACUAGCGUUCCCAUCAUCAAUGGGGUAGUUCUUGACCACAUCAUACCUAUGUCAGUACACAAAUUCACAUUUUACAUAUAGAUCCAUGUGUACUUAGUCACCAAAAACAUGAUGCUAAGAGAUAAUUCAUUACAAAUCAAACCUGCAAAUGCAUGAACAAUGUUGAUGACUUCUCUUGUGAUAAGGGAUCAUUAGCAUGUUUUGUUGAAUCAAUUCCUCCAUCAUAAAAGGGCCUCUCCUCAAACAUGUUUAGGAACCUAAAUAGUCAAGUCAGAUUUUAUUUC